rnacentral:misc_RNA from 1 species
GGGAUGACGAUGAAUAAUGGUGCCGACAGUGCUUUGGAUGUUCAACAUGCUACUGCCUUGGGGGGACAGCAGCUACAUGAGAACAUUUCAAGGUUCAGACACCUUGUGGAUGGUACGCCAAAUUCAACAUCUCAAACCAGUUCAUUUCCAUCUGGGGAUAACCAAAUGCUUAGUUUAUUGGGAGAAGCAAGAGAUGGUCCAACUGUAAAAGCUCCUCAGCAACCUGCCCUUCAAUGUAGAAGUUCUCAGGAAAUGGUCACAUUUGCUUGUACUGACCCUCAUACUCAAUCUAGCAGCAGCAAUGUG